AAGCAAAACGCCUCAAAAAGCAUUCAUGAGAAGCGUUGAAUGUUGUUUGUAGAGAAAGAGGUCAAUUUAAGAGGUGGAGGUGGCGGUGAUGGAGUUGACGUCAUCUGAGAGAGAAAGAAAGAAAGUGUAAUUGGGGGGUGGGGAGAGAAAUAUAACAUUCAGUUUGUGAGAUUAGUUUCCUUAUGUAAACGACUAACACACACACACACACACACAUAUAUAUAUACACUACAACAUAUACAUACUGCAGCAUAAACACACAAACACACGUACACACACUAAAACAUAGAACCACAUACAUGAGGACAUAAUCGCCACCCGUGUAUAGUAUAUAAUAAACUUCACAGAAGCUUUUGCCUAGUUAAAGAACUGGAUUUGCAAAGACGGGACUCUCUCCUGAGACAGAAGAACUUCAGACUGAAAUUGAAACCUGAUUAUAACUCUGGGUCUUGUAAUGAAGACACAACCUCGAAUAAUGGUAUUUUCCAUUGGCCAGUGACGAAAAUAGGAAGCAAUGCGACGAUUCCAUGCCAUGAAAAUGUAGCAACGAGACUCUGUUCUUCCAGGACGGUGAAGCAUCCAGAAAUGGCAUCAAGCCAAUCUAGGACAUCACUAAAAUGUUCACCAUUUACUGGUAUCUGGCAAGAACCAGACAUGUCACAAUGUUACAAUACAGAGUGGAUCACUCGACGACUAAAAGACAUCAGAAGCCAAGACAUUGAUCAAAGGAAUAUCGGCAAUAUUUCGAAAGAGGUCUUGAAUGUUUCGCAGAAAUCAGUGUAUUUCAAACAACAAGAUAUUGCCUUGGCUGUAGAUAUUCUCGAGAAAAUGGUGCCAUUGAACGCAUCAGCUGACACAAGACUGAAAAUUAUACGUGGCGUAAACAAUAUGAUAAACACACCAGAGGUUUUGGCUGAGGCAGAACUAUCUAAUAGAAGUGUCAGCAGAAUGCUGGACAUUAUCAAAAUAUUGCCAGAAACAAUUCCACUGGAAGAGUAGCAAGUCAACGUUUCAUACUCGAAUCUUGGUAUCGGUGUUGCCAAAGUGAAUCAGGAUAGUUUCGAUGGUCAUUUUUAUGGCGUUUCCUACGGAACUAAUGAAACAGAAGCAAUCACACGGCUCUAUAACCACUCAUACUCUGACCAACAACAAGAUGAUAUACAGACACUUUCCUUUAUUUCCUUACCAAAGAGUUUACCAAAACAUCUGGAAGACGAACAAAGAUCAACCCUUGCAAGGGUAGUAUUUUACUCCAUGAGGAAUGAUAAGCUCUAUAGGGUAACACAAAACUCCAGUGCCAAAGGAAAUACUGAAAUUAACAGCCAUAUUAUUAGUGCCAGUAUCCCCAACGUUUCAAUAAGCAACCUUGAUGAACCAAUUAAUAUAUCCUUCAAUUUAAUAAACCAGAAUGCCGACAACCCAGAAUGUGUUUCCUGGGAGGAAACUUCAGGAGAGGAUCCUCAUUGGGCAACAAAAGGCUGUAAAAUAUCCGAUUAUGUACCUGGAAAGAAAGUAGUUUGUUCCUGCGACCAUCUUACAAGUUUUGCCUUAUUAAUGGAUGUCUACAGGAAUGAAGACGAUAGGAAAAAUGAUAAAUCCUUAUCUGUUAUAUCCAACAUUGGCUGUGGAUUAUCAUUUGUCUGUCUUAUUCUUACAGUAAUAAUUCACGUUUGUUUCAAGUAGAAGUUCUGGUAAUGAGAUAGAACAGCAGAAACCAAAUUCUAAUUGAGAAUCGAUAUAUAGAAUGUCUCCAAGAAAUAAAGAAUCCCUCCAAGAAUCGUCUUUCAUCAUAUUUUGCAUAAUAAAAUCCUAUUUUCACUUAUUAACAUUAAAUAUAUUUCUUGUAUAGAACAAUUCUUUCUACCUUUUCAUACAACCUUAUGCAACCGAGAGACUCUAAUCCACAAUACCUGAGACCCCCUUCGGUCACGACACAGACCAUGGGAUUGCACCUAGAAAGUUACACUCCCAGGCACAAGUCUGGGCAAGGUUGUUUAUGGGAGACCAGCAGUCGCCCAUGCAUACCGGCCUCCCCUCUCU